CCUCUAAAAAAGUGGCUAGCUCAUCAUUAUUGUCCUCAUUUUUUAGGAAGGACCCACAUGUGAAACCACUUACCUGUUUAACCCUAUGAACUUGAAGAGAACAUGUAAUGCCACUUAAAAUACCUAAGCUCAGGUUCUGCCUUCAGCGACUCCUGGUAGUAGUGCCCUUAUGAGCCAUUUAUCUAGAAGUGAAGAAGUAAAUGAAACCAUCCAGACCCUUCGAGGAGCACAAGUCAGGAGAAGCUUACUGGUUUACAAAGUAGUCUUGAAAAAAACCAGGGCACUUGGAAUGUAAUGAGGGAGGCAGAUCUGUCCCGCUGUCAUGGAGCACUGACUACCAUCUUCCCUGAACUCUUACAUGAG